rnacentral:tRNA from 1 species
GGUGAGGUGUCCGAGUGUGUGUAUACGGCAACGUAUCGGGGGUUCGAAUCCCCCCCUCACCGCCA